rnacentral:rRNA from 1 species
UGAUAUAUAACUAUUACUUAUAAAUAUAUAAGUAUAUAAAGAAACUAUUAUGGAAUUUAAGCUAUGUAUUAAAGAGAAUUAUUUAUAUAUAUAGGAUAUUUAUCCUAUAAUUAUAUGAACUCUAAGAGAAAUUUUAUAAUAAACGAAGUGAAUUGAAAUAUCUUAGUAACUUUAGGAAAAUAAAUCAAAAGAGAUUCUAUGAAUAGCGUGAGCGAAAGUAGAGAAGUCUAAUAAGUAAAACGGUUCAAAACUGUUUAAACAUUAUGGGGAACCUUCCUCAAAGGCUAAAUAUAAUACAUAAGCGAUAGUGAAAAGUACCAUGAGGGAAAUAAAAUAAAAAUAGUAGUUUUAUAAGCAGUUCGAAAUAAAGAACGUACCUUUUGCAUAAUGGGUCACCAAGUUAACGUUAGAUGCGAGAUAACACGUAGUUAAACCGAACGUUAAAAUAACGAUUAGUGUCUAAAGUUAGACCCGAAGCCUGGUGAUUUUACCAUAGUCAGGAUUAUAAAAGUCCGAACCGGUGAUUGUAGCAAAAAUCUCGGAAGAACUGUGGUAGGUGUAGUGAAAGACAACACUGACUAGGAUAGCUGGUUUUCUGCGAAACCUAUAAUAGUAGGCAGUUUAAGUAAAUAUCUUAGCAGGUACAGAAUUUAAUCUCAGACAAGACAUUCAAUGUUUUAUAUUGUACAAAUUGGGGGAUCAUGAAGAUUUUAUCAGUGAGUAUGUAGACUCGGAAUGGCAAAGAUAUAUAUUAAACUAUCAGACAUAGAAUGAUAAGGUUGUAUGUCGAAAGGGAAACAGCCCAGAACAAGAGUUAAGGUUCCUAAAUUAUUUGUUAAGUGAAAAUAAGAAGGUUUUUAUUUAAGUCGACAAGGAGAUAGGCUUAGAAGCAGCCAUAAUUUUAUGACCUCGUAACAGAGCGCUUGUUAAAUUAUAAAAGCGUCGAAAAUAUAACGGAUCUAAACAAUAUACCGAAACCUUGUCCAUAAUAUAUUAUAAUAAAUAUGUUUAUUGUAAUUAAAUGGGGUAGCAGAACGUUGAGCUAAAGUAUGAGUUUUAUUUUUUAAAUAAAAUUAUAGUAUUUAACUCAAGUGAGAAUGGUGACAUGAGUAACUAAAAGAAAAUUUUCCGCCUUAAGCUUAUGGAUGUAAUUAAGUAACGGCCUCUAAGUUUAUAUAAUCUAAAGAUUUAAACGAUGAGAAAAUCUUUAUUACUAAAAACAACAUUUUGGUGCAAAAUGUGCUGGAAAAAUAGUAAUAUGUUUGUUAUUUAAUAACAAAUAAAAUAACCGUACCUAGAAUCUGAAACAAGUAAGCUAGUAGAGAAUACGAAGGCGUAAAUGAGCUAACAAUCAUAAAGGAACUCGGCAAAUUGACUACCGUAACUUCGGAAUAAGGAGGGCUCAUUAUUCUUGAUGAAUAUCAAGUAAAGAGGAAGAAGCAUGAAAUAAUGUUGUACGACUGUUUAAUUAAAACACAGCACUUUGCUGAAAGAUUAAAAAUCUAAGUAUAAAGUGUGAUAUCUGCCCGGUGCCGGCUGGUUAACAGACAUAAUUGAAUAUACUAAUAUUUGAUGUGGACGGAAACCCCGGUUAAAGGCGGCCUUAACGUGAGGGUCCUAAGGUAGCGAAAUGCCUUGGCCGUUAAAUGCGGUCUUGCAUGAAUGGUGUAACGAUACAACAGCUGUCUCUAUGAUUGACUCAGUGAAAUUGGAAUAGCUGUGCAGAUACAGCUUACCUCUAGUUAGACGAGAAGACCCUAUGCAGCUUUACUGUCACUAAUUAUAGAGUAUGAUAAACGAUUUUCAGAAUAUAAGGUAAUUGACAAACAUGACAAUGAGAAACCUUUAUUCUUUUUUCAUAUGAAUGAAUUGGUUUAGGAUUAUGAGUAAUUUAUAGUUAAUUUUAUGGGCCUAGCUUAUGCUGGGUUACAUAUUUUAAUUUAUAGCUCAUUUUAGUAAAUCAACCUAAUUCAACUUAUUUAUUUUUAAAAUUAGUAAGUACCCUUUGGUAAGGAACUAUCGCUAGGGGACAGUUUAUGUGGGGCACAGACCCUGUAAAGAGUAAACAGGAGUGUCUAAAAAUUUAUAAUUAUUUUGUUUGCUAUUUUGAGUAGUUUAACUAUUUUUAAUCGUAUAAAAUUAAAUAUAUUUGCAUUUUAUGUAUAUAUAUUUAAGAUUAGGUAAGAUUUUCACUAUAUAGAAAUUAGAGAUAAUUGAGAAUAUUAUGAAGUUUUCUAAUAUUUUCUAGCUAUUAUUUAUAAUAGUUAUGUGUUUAAUAUCUAAAAAGCUCAACGGCUUAAUCUUGCCUUACUGUUUGAUUAUCGACAAAUCUUACAGUUGCGUAAGCAGGGCAUAGGAUCACAAGAUGCCACAAGGAAAGAUCUUGGAUUAUUGGAAAAGCUACGCUAGGGAUGUUUGUCCUUUAAUAUUUUAUUUACGUGGGCUUGCUAAGCACGCUUCUAUAAAAUUAUUAAUAUAAAUUGGGUAAAUUUCAAGAAUUACUAAUAAUGAUAGUAAACUUGAAGCGAAGUUUAUCUUAGCAUAUAUAUAAGAUAAAAACGUUCAACGACUAUAAGGUGAGUGAUAUGCAAUACACAAUAAUCCUUUAAUACUACCCAACAUUUUUAUUAGACAUAUUUUAAAAAAAACAAGUAAAAUGAAUUAAUUAUAACAAAAUUAUAAUGAGAAAAAAUCUUAAUAUGAAAAUAUUUAAUAACAAUUUAAAUAAUAAUCCUAAAACAAUUGCUUUAAGAAAAAAAGUAGGAGAUAUAGGAAAAAUAAAAUAUUUACCUUCUUUUUCUAAAGAAUGAAAAAAUACUAUUUAUAGCUAUAAUAAGAAUAUGUUGAAAAAUAUACCUUCUAAUGAUGUAAAUAUUAAUAAAAUAAUUCAAAGUUAUUUUAAUUUAUAUUUUAAAGAUCAUAAAUACGUAGGAUCUAGAAAGUUUAUAUUACUUAGAAGAAGACGUACAUUCUUAAGAAAAAUUUAUGUAAGUAACGCUGAAAUUAAACAUACAAAUAAUAAAGCGAUAAUUACUUUAUUUACAGUAAAUAGAGAAAAAAAAAUCUUAAAAAAAAAAUAUUUAAAAAUAAAUAAAAAAAUAAGUCAAAACUUAAUAAGACGUUAUUUAUUAUUAUAUAAAAAUAAUGUAUCUAAUAUUUAUGAUAUAAUAAAUAAUCAUAAAGAUGAAUAUAAAUUUUUAUCAGUAAAUGGAGGUAAUAAAAUGACUAAAAAAGGAUUUUUAAAUUAUAGAUUAGAAUAUUUAAAUAAAUUUAUAAAAUUAAAAGAUCUUUAUUUAAGAAAAAUUUGAAGUGUAAUUAUUAGUAAAUAUUGAAGAACACAUUUAAAAUUAUUAAGAAAGUAUGAUUUAAUGUAUUCUCUUAAUCAAUAUAAAUUUAAUAACUUAACAUUUUUACCUAAAUUAAGUAAUAUAUUAAAUAAAAUAAUAGGAAAAAAAAUAGAAUAUAAUAUAAUAAAUCUAAAAUCUAUUGCAUAUAAUACAGAUCUUUUCACUAAUGCUUUAGCAUUAAAAUUAAAAAAAAAGAGAAUGAAUUAUAUAAAAAGUAUGUUUAGUAUAUUAAAUAGAGCAUAUUUACCUAAAAUAAAUACAAUAAAAGAAAGAACUUUAGUAAAAGGACAGAAAAAUAUUGAUUUAUACUUAGAUAAAUAUAAAGAUUUAAAUAUAAUUUCUAAUUUAAAUAAUAUUAAUUUAGAUAAAUUAUUAAAUAAUAUAAAUAAUACAACUAAUACUGAUAAAAACGAUACAGAGAAUAAAAAAAUUCAUAAUCUAAUAUACAAUUCCAUAGGUUAUAAAAAUAUGGGAGGUAUAAGAUUAGAAGUUAAAGGAAGAUUAACUAAACGUUAUAGAGCAGAUAGAUCUAUUUACUCAUUAAAAUGAAAAGGUGGGUUAAAAAAUGUAGAUUCUUCUUUCAAACGUUUAAGUUCAGUCUUAUUUAGAGGAAACUCUAAAUCUAAUAUGACUUAUACAUUAUCUCAAUCAAAGCGUAGAAUUGGAGCGUUUGCAGUUAAAGGAUGAAUAAGUGGUAAAUAAAUAUUAAGGAAAAAUCUAAAAUAUGUAAAAAUAAAAAUGAAGACAUAGUCUGAACCAUUUUUAAAGAAAUGGAAAUAUAAAAAUAUGAUAACAUACAGAACAGGCUAAUUUGCGCAAGAGUGUACAAAAUGAGUGCGCGGUUUGGCACCUCGAUGUCGGCUUAACUUAUCCUCAUGGAUGCAGGAACUAUGUAGGGUGCGACUGUUCGUCGAUUAAAAAGUUACAUGAGCUGGGUUAAAUACGUCGUGAGACAGUAUGGUUUCUAUCUUCUAGGGGGAAUUAGAAUAUAAUAAGAACAAACUUUUGUACGAAAGGAACAAGAAGAGUUUAGCUGAAAGGUUAAACGAUGGUUACUAAUCUAUGGUUUACCUGUUGUUUAUGUGCCCAAUAUUCAAUAUAUAUAUUUAUAUAUAUAUCUGUAUUUUUAUACAUGGGAUGUUUCUCUCACUAAGAUAAAUAUAUAGCAUAAGCACGGCAGGAACGCUAAGUUAGUUAAGGAUAAGUGCUGAAAGCAUAUAGGCACGAAGCUUAUCUUAAGAUAUUUCUUAAAUAUGCGUAAAAUAUUAUUACGAAAUAAUUAUAGGCUUUAUCCGUAAGAAUCAAGAGAUUUUCAAGAAUAAAGUACUAAUUUAAUAAAUAACUAUUUAUAUAUAUAUCAAU